AGUGAACGCUGGCGGUGUGCCUAACACAUGCAAGUCGAACGGCAGCACAGUAAGCGCUUGCUCUUACGGGUGGCGAGUGGCGGACGGGUGAGGCAUACAUCAGCAUCUACUUUUUCGUGGGUGAUAACGUAGGGCAACUUACGCUAAUACCGCAUACGACCUACGGGUGAAAGCAGUGGAUCUUCGGACCUUUCGCGAUUGAAUGAGCCGAUGUCGGAUUAGCUAGUUGGCAGGGUAAAGGCCCACCAAGGCGACGAUCCGUAGCUGGUCUGAGAGGAUGAUCAGCCACACUGGAACUGAGACACGGUCCAGACUCCUACGGGAGGCAGCAGUAGGGAAUAUUGGACAAUGGGCGCAAGCCUGAUGCAGCCAUGCCGCGUGGGUGAAGAAGGCCUUCGGGUUGUAAAGCCCUUUUGUUGGGAAAGAAAAGAAGCAGGUUAAUACCCCGCUGUUCUGACGGUACCCAAAGAAUAAGCACCGGCUAACUUCGUG
rnacentral:rRNA from 1 species